ACUGCCACAUUUGUUUUGUGCAUG
rnacentral:siRNA from 1 species